rnacentral:lncRNA from 1 species
GCUAACAACUACGUUGAGGUUGGACCAUGGGGCGGUAGCGGUGGAGCAAAUCCAUGGUCAAUCAUACCCAAUGGUGGUAGGAUUACUCGGAUAAACGUCCGUAGCGGAGCUAUUGUUGAUGCCAUCUACUUUGGCUACACGGAAGGUGGUACCAACUAAGAGCAUUCACAUCCAAGAUUGACAUUGCCGACGAUGAGGAGAUCAUCGAGAUUAACGGAAAAGUGGGAACUUUUGAGAACCUAAACCUUGUCACGCAAUUGACUUUCGUGACCAACAAACAAACCUAUGGACCAUAUGGCACGAAUGGAGGGACAGAUUUCUCUUGCCCUAUAGCUAAAGGUAAGGUUGUUGGAUUCUUUGGAAGAUACGGUGCCUACCUGGACGCUAUUGGUGUCGUACUUAGUCCCUAGUAGGGAUCUGAUCAUGCUAAUAAUUACCGGUGGCAUGCCUGAUGCUAUAAGCGGUACCUAGUUAUAUCAAAUAAACAUUAUAAAGUGGAGUUGAUUGUAUGUUUGCUUUGAGUUCUGUUUCUUGUUUCUCAAUGUAUGUGUCCAUGUAAUAAUUAAAAUAAAGCACCCGUACGGUGCAUGUGCUAUAUAUAAUCGUGUACUCACUCUUAAA